rnacentral:rRNA from 1 species
UCGUGUCGGGACUAGCCUCUUCGAGAAGCACCCUUUGUUUAUGAGCACCUCUCGUUUCCUCGGCAGGCUCGCCUGCCAACGGGGACCCACCACAAACCCAUUGUAGUACAAGAAGUACACGUCUGAACAAAACAAAACAAACUAUUUACAACUUUCAACAACGGAUCUCUUGGUUCUGGCAUCGAUGAAGAACGCAGCGAAAUGCGAUAAGUAGUGUGAAUUGCAGAAUUCAGUGAAUCAUCGAAUCUUUGAACGCACAUUGCGCCCUUUGGUAUUCCUUAGGGCAUGCCUGUUCGAGCGUCAUUUCAACCCUCAAGCCUAGCUUGGUGUUGGGCGUCUGUCCCGCCUCCGCGCGCCUGGACUCGCCUCAAAAGCAUUGGCGGCCGGUUCCCAGCAGGCCACGAGCGCAGCAGAGCAAGCGCUGAAGUGGCUGCGGGUCGGCGCACCAUGAGCCCCCCCACACCAGAAUUUUGACCUCGGAUCAGGUAGGGAUACCCGCUGAACUUAAGCAUAUCAAUAAGCCGGAGGAAUAGGAUCAUUAUCGUAGGGGCCUCCCCUUCAGAUACCCCUUAGUUUAUGAGCACUCUCUUUCCACGGGGAGCUCCCUGCCAAGGGGACCACCCAACCCAUUGGUAGUUCAGAAGAUUACCUCGGACAAAAAAACAAGUAUUUUAAACUUUAACAAGGGAAUUUUAGGGUUCGGGCAUGAUGAAAAAAACAGAAACG